rnacentral:rRNA from 1 species
AACGAACGCUGGCGGCAGGCCUAACACAUGCAAGUCGAGCGAGGACUUCGGUCCUAGCGGCGGACGGGUGAGUAACGCGUGGGAACGUGCCCUUUGCUACGGAAUAGCCCCGGGAAACUGGGAGUAAUACCGUAUGUGCCCUACGGGGGAAAGAUUUAUCGGCAAAGGAUCGGCCCGCGUUGGAUUAGGUAGUUGGUGGGGUAAUGGCCUACCAAGCCGACGAUCCAUAGCUGGUUUGAGAGGAUGAUCAGCCACACUGGGACUGAGACACGGCCCAGACUCCUACGGGAGGCAGCAGUGGGGAAUCUUAGACAAUGGGGGAAACCCUGAUCUAGCCAUGCCGCGUGAGCGAUGAAGGCCUUAGGGUUGUAAAGCUCUUUCAGUGGGGAAGAUAAUGACGGUACCCACAGAAGAAGCCCCGGCUAACUCCGUGCCAGCCGCCGCAGUAAAAC